rnacentral:rRNA from 1 species
GACGAACGCUGGCGGCGUGCCUAACACAUGCAAGUCGAGCGAGAAUCUUAUAACAGAUUCCUUCGGGAUGAAGAUAUAAGAGGAAAGCGGCGGACGGGUGAGUAACGCGUGAGCAACCUGCCUUCAGGAGGGGGACAACAGCUGGAAACGGCUGCUAAUACCGCAUGACAUUACAGAAUCGCAUGGUUUUGUAAUCAAAGAUUUAUCGCCUGAAGAUGGACUCGCGUCUGAUUAGCUAGUUGGUGAGGUAACGGCUCACCAAGGCGACGAUCAGUAGCCGAACUGAGAGGUUGAUCGGCCACAUUGGGACUGAGACACGGCCCAGACUCCUACGGGAGGCAGCAGUGGGGGAUAUUGCGCAAUGGGGGGCAACCCUGACGCAGCAACGCCGCGUGAAGGAAGAAGGUUUUCGGAUCGUAAACCUCUUUAAGUGGGGAAGAUAGUGACGGUACCCACAGAAUAAGCCACGGCUAACUACGUGCCAGCA